rnacentral:rRNA from 1 species
AUUAAACUGAAGAGUUUGAUCCUGGCUCAGAUUGAACGCUGGUGGCAUGCUUAACACAUGCAAGUCGAACGGUAACAGGUCUUAGGAUGCUGACGAGUGGCGGACGGGUGAGUAACGCGUAGGAAUCUGCCCAUUUGAGGGGGAUACCAGUUGGAAACGACUGUUAAUACCGCAUAAUAUCUGUGGAUUAAAGGUGGCUUUCGGGCUGUCGCAGAUGGAUGAGCCUGCGUUGGAUUAGCU